rnacentral:rRNA from 1 species
ACGGGAUUUGUAUGGUGCUUGCACCAUGUAAUGAGAGUAGCGCACUGGUGAGUAACACGUGGGAACAUACCUUGAAGUGGGGGACAACAGUUGGAAACGACUGCUAAUACCGCAUAAUCCCUGAGGGGGAAAGAUUUAUCGCUUUAAGACUGGCCCGCGGAAGAUUAGGUAGUUGGUGGGGUAAAGGCCUACCAAGCCGACGAUCUAUAGCUGGUCUGAGAGGACGAACAGCCACAUUGGAACUGAGACACGGUCCAGACUCCUACGGGAGGCAGCAGUGAGGAAUAUUGGGCAAUGGAGGAAACUCUGACCCAGCCAUGCCGCGUGAGUGAAGAAGGUUUUCGAAUUGUAAAGCUCUUUCGGAUGGGACGAUGAUGACGGUACCAUCUAAAGAAGCCCCGGCAAACUUCGUGCCAGCAGCCGCGGUAAUACGAAGGGGGCAAGCGUUGUUCGGAAUUACUGGGCGUAAAGGGUGUGUAGGCGGAUUUGUAAGAUAGUGGUGAAAUACCUGAGCUCAACUUAGGAAUUGCCAUUAUAACUAUAGAUCUGGAGUGACAGAGAGGAUAUUGGAAUACCCAGUGUAGAGGUGAAAUUCGUAGAUAUUGGGUAGAACACCAGUGGCGAAGGCGAGUAUCUGGCUGUCAACUGACGCUGAGGCACGAAAGCAUGGGGAUCAAACAGGAUUAGAUACCCUGGUAGUCCAUGCUGUAAACGAUGAAUGCUAGUUGUCGGCAAAAGCCGGUGACGCAGUUAACGCGAUAAGCAUUCCGCCUGGGGAGUACGGUCGCAAGAUUAAAACUCAAAGGAAUUGACGGGGACCCGCACAAG